rnacentral:rRNA from 1 species
AUUGAACGCUGGCGGCAGGCCUAACACAUGCAAGUCGAGCGGAUGAAGGGAGCUUGCUCCUGGAUUCCGUGGCGGACGGGUGAGUAAUGCCUAGGAAUCUGACCGGUCGUGGGGGAUAACGUCCGGACACGGGCGCUAAUACCGCAUACGUCCUGAGGGAGAAAGUGGGGGAUCUUCGGACCUCACGCUAUCAGAUGAGCCUAGGUCGGAUUAGCUAGUUGGUGGGGUAAAGGCCUACCAAGGCGACGAUCCGUAACUGGUCUGAGAGGAUGAUCAGUCACACUAGAACUGAGACACGGUCCAGACUCCUCCGGGAGGCAGCAGUGGGGAAUAUUGGACAAUGGGCGAAGACAUGAUCAAGCCAUGCCGCGUGUGGGAAGAAGGUCGUCGGAUUGUAAAAAACUUUAAGUAGGGAGGAAGGACAGUAAGUUAAUACCUUGCUGUUUUGACGUUACCAACAGAAUAGGCAGCGGCUAACUUCGUG